UACGGGGGGGGCAAGCGUUGUUCGGAAUUACUGGGCGUAAAGGGCUCGUAGGUGGCCAACUAAGUCAGACGUGAAAUCCCUCGGCUUAACCGGGGAACUGCGUCUGAUACUGGAUGGCUUGAGUUCGGGAGAGGGAUGCGGAAUUCCAGGUGUAGCGGUGAAAUGCGUAGAUAUCGUGAGGAAGACCAGUGGCGAAGGCGGAUCUCUGGACAGUUCCUGACGCUGAGGCGCGAAGGCCAGGGGAGCAAACGGG
rnacentral:rRNA from 1 species